AGAAUCAACGCUGGCGGCGUGCCUAACACAUGCAAGUCGAACGAGAAAGGGGUAGCAAUACCCUGAGUAAAGUGGCGCACGGGUGAGUAACACGUGACUAACCUACCCUUGAGUGGGGGGAUAACUGAGGGAAACCUUAGCUAAUACCGCAUAAUACCCACGGGUCAAAGGAGCAAUUCACUCGAGGAGGGGGUCGCGGCCGAUUAGUUAGUUGGCGGGGUAAUGGCCCACCAAGACGAUGAUCGGUAUCCGGCCUGAGAGGGCGCACGGACACACUGGAACUGAAACACGGUCCAGACUCCUACGGGAGGCAGCAGUGGGGAAUUUGCGCAAUGGGGGAAACCCUGACGCAGCAACGCCGCGUGGAGGAUGAAGUCCUUCGGGACGUAAACUCCUUUCGAUCGGGACGAUUAUGACGGUACCGGAAGAAGAAGCCCCGGCUAACUUCGCGCCAGCAGCCGC
rnacentral:rRNA from 1 species